rnacentral:rRNA from 1 species
AUUCCUACGGGAGGCAGCAGUGGGGAAUCUUGGACAAUGGGCGCAAGCCUGAUCCAGCCAUGCCGCGUGAGUGAUGAAGGCCUUAGGGUCGUAAAGCUCUUUCGCUGGGGAUGAUAAUGACAGUACCCAGUAAAGAAACCCCGGCUAACUCCGUGCCAGCAGCCGCGGUAAUACGGAGGGGGUUAGCGUUGUUCGGAAUUACUGGGCGUAAAGCGCGCGUAGGCGGGUUGUUAAGUUAGAGGUGAAAUCCCGGGGCUCAACCCCGGAACUGCCUUUAAUACUGGCAACCUAGAGUUCGAGAGAGGUGAGUGGAAUUCCGAGUGUAGAGGUGAAAUUCGUAGAUAUUCGGAGGAACACCAGUGGCGAAGGCGGCUCACUGGCUCGAUACUGACGCUGAGGUGCGAAAGUGUGGGGAGCGAACAGGAUUAGAUACCCUGGUAGUCCACACCGUAAACGAUGAAUGCCAGUCGUCGGGUAGCAUGCUAUUCGGUGACACACCUAACGGAUUAAGCACUCCGCCUGGGGAGUACGGUCGCAAGAUUAAAACUCAAAGGAAUUGACGGAAU